UAGAAAUAUUUUAAUAAAUUGAAUUUAAUUAACUAAUUGAAAAAAAAAUUUCAACGUAAGUAUAUCACGGUCCUUCAUUACUCUCUUAUGCUCUGCUGUGUUUGAAGGUCACUCCAUUUUCAGAUUCAACCGCACAAACCCUAACGUCUCUUUUGCUCGCUCAACAAGUUAAUUUGGGGGAUUUCACUGUUCAAUUGAGUUUGUUAUGAUGGAAUUUGAUGAGUAUGAAUAUUUAGAGAGAACAGUUGAUGAUGCUGAGCUUAAGAACAAGAAUCUAAUUUCUAAUUUUGGGGAAAAGACUGUGAAAUAUGAUGAUAGAGUACGUAGUAGAAGCUCCAAGCAUAAGGAUAGUGAGAAGGAUGAUGAUGCUCAUGGUGUUGAUAAUGGUGUCAAGCAUUUAAAAUCUGGAGAUGGUUCUAGUGGUUAUGAUAGGCAGAAAGAGAGAGGCUCGUCUCGGCGUCGUUCUGGGUCUAGGGAUGGAGACAAGGAGAACGAUCAGCGUAGAAGCUCUCAGGGUAAUGGGAAUAGGAAGAGAGAUAGGGAGAGAGAGAGUGAGAGCAAGUAUAGAAGGGAGAGAGACAGAGACCAGGAGGUUGAAAGAGAGAGAAGGAGUCGAGGGAGUGAGGGUGAAAGAGAGAAAGAACGCUCUCGGAGAAGCAAAAGUAUAUCGGAAAGGAAUCGAGGUGAUAUGGAUAACAGAACCCGAGAAACAAGUCGUGAUAGAGGAAUGGGAAGGGACACAAAGGAUUACAGAGACAAAGGAAUCACAAGGGACACGAAGGAACCAGAUAGAGAAAAGUUGGAAAGCAGACGGCAUAAAGAGAAAAAGGAAGAUGCAGCUGAACCUGAGACUGACCCUGAAAGAGAUCAAAGAACUGUGUUUGCUUAUCAGAUAUCUCUUAAAGCGGAUGAAAGAGAUGUUUAUGAGUUCUUUUCAAGGGCUGGCAAGGUGCGAGAUGUUCGCUUGAUUAUGGACCGCAAUUCAAGACGUUCUAAAGGUGUUGGGUAUAUUGAGUUUUACGAUGCUAUGUCUGUUCCCAUGGCAAUAGCUCUUUCAGGUCAACCAAUUCUUGGUCAACCAGUGAUGGUGAAGCCAUCAGAAGCAGAAAAGAAUUUGGUUCAAUCUACAGCAUCUGUUGCCAAUGGACCUUCUGGAAAUUUGGGUCCUUAUUCUGGGGGUGCAAGAAGGCUAUAUGUUGGCAAUCUGCAUUCCAGUAUUACUGAAGCUGAUCUUCAUAGGGUCUUUGAAGCAUUUGGUCAAGUUGAGCUAGUCCAGCUGCCUCUUGAUGACAUUGGGCAUUGCAAAGGUUUUGGCUUUGUGCAGUUUGCCCGCCUAGAAGAUGCAAAAAAUGCUCAGAGCUUGAAUAGCCAAUUGGAGAUUGGUGGCAGGACAAUCAAGGUAUCAGCUGUUACUGAUCAGUCUGGAAUGCAAGAAUUCGGUGGAAAUACUGGUGAUAUUGAUGAUGAUGAAGGUGGUGGCUUGUCCUUGAAUGCCUCGUCCCGAGCAUUACUCAUGCAGAGGUUGGAUCGCAGUGGCACUGCAUCAAGUAUGGCUGGUUUUCUGGGCAGUUCUGUUGUCAACAAUACAGGCCUUAAUCUACACGCAACAGGAAACAUACCACCAGUAGCUGGACUACCAGGUGGAGGUCUUCAAAUUCCAAUGCUCACAAGUCCUUCUAUUGAUACAAUUGGCGUUCCAAGUGAAUGCUUAUUGUUAAAGAAUAUGUUUGAUCCGGAAAAUGAGAAGGAGCCGGACUUUGAUUUGGAUGUUAAAGAAGAUGUUGAAGCAGAAUGCUCUAAGUUUGGGAACUUAAAACAUAUAUACGUUGAUAAGAAGAGUGCUGGGUUUGUGUACUUACGAUUUGAAGGUACUCAAUCUGCUAUAGGUGCACAGCGGGCCUUACAUGGAAGAUGGUUUGCUGGAAAGAUGAUCACUGCAAGCUUUAUGGUGCCGCAGUCAUACGAGGAUAGAUUCCCGGACAGCAAGUAAAAUAUUUGAGGUCCAUUAUCAAGUAGUGGAUUGAUGGGGAAUCUUGUAGCAGAAACUGGCAUUCACAGAAAUAUUUGAGAAAGAAUUUAAACAAAGUUAUGUUAUAUACACUUGCAGUUGCUGUACUUCACCUGUUUUGCGGGAAUAUCGGUGUGAUUUUAAGCAUCUUGUUACAAUUUUACUGUUGUAGCUUGUAACGUUAUUGGUUGGUACAAGUUUUGUGAAUGCUAGUAACAUUGAUUGAACUUGGUUGUGUUAGAAGGAAGUUAUUUUUGGAAGCCCUUGCCAAUGAGCUUCCAAGUGGAACCAUACCAUUACUUGUGAAAGGUGGCUGCUGUUCAGGAAUCUGGCUUCACUAAGAUGCAAAGUGGUUAGGCUUCAAAGAUGCCACCUAUACACGAAGGUAUGGAAUCAGGGGUUGUGUAGAGUUGGGACAGAAGAGUGCUGACAUGUUGUUUGGUACGGCAAUGUGGGCAAUGUGGGGCUCAUGUGGGGUGGGGUGUCUACAAAUUUAACACUCCAAUAGUAAAGACAGUAAAGUUAUAUACGGUGGGUUUCAAAAGACCGUUGGAUUGGAUUCCAUGAUUUAACAUAAGCAAGCAAUUUGAUUUUGGUGUGUGAAA